rnacentral:tRNA from 1 species
UCCCAGGUGGCUCAGUGGUACAGAAUCUGCCUGCAAUGCAGGAGACACAGGUUUGAUCCCUGGGUUGGGAA